AACAAAAAUAUCUGUGCUCAUCACUCAAAUAAGUAAAUGCCCUUACCGGGAUUCGAACCCAGGUCCAUCGGCUUCAUAGGCAGGGUCACUAGCCACUAGGCCGGGCCGGUCGUCAAAUACUACUAAUACUUAUUCAUUGUAAUGUUCUUUUUUCGCCAAGAUGUAAAAAUAAAUAGGUAACGUGUCGUGUGCAGAAAACGCAAGAAACAACUUUUUUCCUUAUAAUUUGACUGAGGAAGUUCCCAUCCCAAUUCAUUCUUUCUUAAUUUCGAAUGUAUUACCGCCGAAAAAGUGUUAAUAAUUAAAUAUGUUUUUACACAAAUAUGACCCAGUGAAGGUUCAAUUGCCGUAAUUGUGUGCCAUAGAUACGACACUAUAGACUCGUCUGGUGACGAAGCACUUACUUUUUAACGUACAGCAAGCUAGGUUAGAGUCUGUGCGGAAAGAGAAGAGUCGUGGAAUGUAUGGGGCCCAAUACAUUCCACGACUCUUCUCUUUCCGAACAGACUCUAACAGCGGUUUUUGUUUACGGCAAGGGUUCUACCGCUCACCUAGUAUUUUAAUUACAAGUUAGUUCUGAGGAAAGGUUGUUCCUAGUACUCUAACUAACCUCAGUAAUACCUCAGAAUAACGAAUAUUAAGACGGGUACGUUGUCAUAGAUCUGAUUACUCAUUAAAGUUACAUUUAUGUUCGUAAUGCUAAGGACGGGGGAGCUCAGUACUCUCACUAAAUUAGUGUACCAUUAUGAAACCCAUGACGGCGGCACGCCGGCUCUCUUUACCACAUACAAGUCAUAUAACUCUUUAGGGAAUAAUCAGGGACGAUACAAAAGUUACGCGGGAUAUGAUUGUAAUGACAAUCGAAACAAAUAAUUGAUGUAUAGUCUCUUGGGACCAACAGGAAUCACGAAGCGUUGUGGUAGAUACGAAUAUAUGAAUUAUCUAUCAGCACUGGGUAGGAAUUUCUUAUUUAUAAGUACUUACAUAAAGUUAUCACCGCUAUGCGAAAUAACUUUAGCCAGAAAUUAUUUAUAAAUAAAAAUAAAAGUCAUUUAUUUCAGACCUUGGUCCAUACAGUGUUAGUUAUAAUAAGUAGUAAUAUACUUUGCCAGUAUUAGACUAGGUAUCUAAAUAUACCUAUCAUGUAUGUACCUGCAUACUUAGAUAUGUUUGUAUUAGUUAGGUAUAGGUGCUUACUUUGUAAUUAUGGGCAAUUCGCAUCCAUACUGCUAGCUUACAAGCUUUUCAUUCGCAUUACUAACUGAUAAAUUUCCCUACGUACCUAUCUGCACUCUUCAUUCAUCAAUAGCUGGCGCGGACUCGUGCCAACACAGAUAUGGCAGUGCCAAUAUCGCAGUUCUUUGUAUCGCGCAGGUAUUCUAUUCACGGCGACUGCUCCGUACGAUAUCGAAUCCAGCCCUUUCAAUCCGGAGGUAAUGCCUGCCAACAAAGAGCCACGACUACCAUUUGCUCAAUGGAAAUACCAUUUGGCUCUGAAAUACACUGUAGGUGAUUAUUCACAUUCUCGAUUUAAGCUUUUUAGCUUGUUUUCUAUGAGUUCUAGAAUGACAGUACAUUUAUAACAGCUAAUGGUGGAAUCGUUAUAUUAGGUAAGUACUUACAAAAAUAUUAUUUAUUUCUCACCUAAGAAAUGCAUUUCUAGAUGAAAAAUCAUAGCACCUGCAAAAGUGUAAUAGCAAAGAAAUAUGUAAAAUUAGUAAAACUUGGUAACCAGAAAUAAAAUGGCACAUAUUAUAAUUAAAUAUGAAGGUACAAAACAGGUACAAAAAUUUGGUUUUUAUGGAAUUUAUCAAUAAUCGUCGGGAUCGCCGCGUAAUAAAGUACAUCCGCCAUUUCUGACUGUCAGAAUGGCGGGUGUACUGUUUUUUGGCGAUACAUUUAAGUACCGUAAGGUACAAUUUUUUUUAAAGGAGGUACUAAAUAAUUCAAAUCAGGUACAAAAAUAUGGUAUGCUUUUUCUCAUUUAGGAACAUCCGCCGAGUCAGGAUCUCCAAAGGGGUGAUCUCCCAUAGUAAAAUUGGAAUUUAGCGCCUUUUUCUUCUGACAAGUUGGGUGUGUUUGAGUAUAAUGUAUCUAAAGUUACAGUACAUAUGGUGCUACUUUUCCGCACUAGUGCGUAUAUUAGCAAAUUAUGUAACUAUGUCGAGAAUUUAAAGGGUCAUAUGUACUGUAAAACGUUGUACGAUACAUGUGCGAAUAUGUAAUUCGCAACUCGUGUAGAUUUAAAACACUCCCUUCGGUCAUGUUUUAAUUUAUCGCCACUCGUUACGAAUUUCCUAUUUUUCGCACUUGUAUCGUAAAUAACUAUUCUAUACCAAUUUAUUACAACCAAGGAGAUUCAAUUUACAUAUAAUUACAAUCCUUUUCGAUACGAUACAAACCUCAACAAGUCGGUACGUCAUGUUGAAAAUGACGGAAGUGUCACAUUGUUUUAUUUAACGGAAAUGUGACAAUGUAAUUCAAAAUUCCGUGUAACAAAGUCACUUACCAGUGACUUUAUUUGGCAUCAAAAUUCUUGUAUUAAAUAACAUCAUGUAUCUGAGUAGCCGGAUAUUCAAAUGCAGUAAUUGCUACAAGCCGAUAGAGCGACGGUUGGGCUUGUUCCAAGCUCAGGACGACUAUGAAUGCUAUUGCGACAGCUACGUCAAGUGUUUCUGGGGGUUGUGUGAUGUGCGGCAUGACAGCAAGGAGUGUCUCCGACCAAAGCCUGAUGGCCAAGUAAUAACCGUUCAACCGAAAUGCAAGGUAAUACCGUGUCAAGCCUAGUCUCAGGUCAUAGUUUGUUUUUCAAAUUCUUCUAAAUGAAGAUCAUAAAUAUAAUUCAAGACUUUAUUUCAUGUGUCAUUAAAAGUAUAAUCCGAUAAACUA